UAUGACUAUAUCACGUUGAAACAUUGGUUCCAGUACGAUCACCAAAGUUAAGCAACGUCGAGUCUGGUCAGUACCUUGAUGGGUGAUCGCUAGGGAAUACCACGUGCUGUAAG